GGAGUUAGCCGGUGCUUCUUCUGUGAGUGAUGUCCUUCCUGCCGGCUAUUAACCCGCAGGCCUUCUUCCUCACUGAAAGUGCUUUACAACCCGAAGGCCUUCUUCACACACGCGGCAUGGCUGGAUCAGGGUUGCCCCCAUUGUCCAAUAUUCCCCACUGCUGCCUCCCGUAGGAGUCUGGGCCGUGUCUCAGUCCCAGUGUGGCUGAUCAUCCUCUCAGACCAGCUACGGAUCGUCGCCUUGGUGAGCCGUUACCUCACCAACCAGCUAAAUCCGACAUAGGCUCAUCCGAUAGCGCGAGGCCCGAAGGUCCCCCGCUUUCCCCCGUAGGGCGUAUGCGGUAUUAGCCUGGGUUUCCCCAGGUUAUCCCCCACUACCGGGCAGAUUCCUAUGCAUUACUCACCCGUCCGCCGCUCGCCACCAGGGAGCAAGCUCCCCGUGCUGCCGCUCGACUUGCAUGUGUUAGGCCUGCCGCCAGCGUUCAAUCUGAGCCAUGAUCAAACUCUGA
rnacentral:rRNA from 1 species